UACGGAGGGUGCAAGCGUUGUCCGGAAUCACUGGGCUUCAAGGGCGCGUAGGCGGGCUGUCAAGUCUGGGGUGAAAUGCCGCGGCUCAACCGUGGAACUGCCUUAGAUACUGACGGCCUCGAGGAAGGUAGGGGCAUGCGGAACUGUAGGUGGAGCGGUGAAAUGCGUUGAUAUCUACAGGAACUCCGGUGGCGAAAGCGGCGUGCUGGACCUUUUCUGACGCUGAGGCGCGAAAGCUAGGGGAGCAAACGGG
rnacentral:rRNA from 1 species